rnacentral:rRNA from 1 species
CCUAGAUGACGCUGGCGGCGUGCUUAACACAUGCAAGUCGAACGAUGAUCCCUGGCUUGCUGGGGGGAUUAGUGGCGAACGGGUGAGUAACACGUGAGUAACCUGCCCUUGACUCUGGGAUAAGCCUGGGAAACUGGGUCUAAUACCGGAUACGACCGCUCCACGCAUGUGGUGGUGGUGGAAAGCUUUUGCGGUUUUGGAUGGACUCGCGGCCUAUCAGCUUGUUGGUGGGGUAAUGGCCUACCAAGGCGACGACGGGUAGCCGGCCUGAGAGGGUGACCGGCCACACUGGGACUGAGACACGGCCCAGACUCCUACGGGAGGCAGCAGUGGGGAAUAUUGCACAAUGGGCGAAAGCCUGAUGCAGCGACGCCGCGUGAGGGAUGACGGCCUUCGGGUUGUAAACCUCUUUCAGUAGGGAAGAAGCGAAAGUGACGGUACCUGCAGAAGAAGCGCCGGCUAACUACGUGCCAGCAGCCGCGGUAAUACGUAGGGCGCAAGCGUUAUCCGGAAUUAUUGGGCGUAAAGAGCUCGUAGGCGGUUUGUCGCGUCUGCUGUGAAAGACCGGGGCUCAACUCCGGUUCUGCAGUGGGUACGGGCAGACUAGAGUGAUGUAGGGGAGACUGGAAUUCCUGGUGUAGCGGUGAAAUGCGCAGAUAUCAGGAGGAACACCGAUGGCGAAGGCAGGUCUCUGGGCAUUAACUGACGCUGAGGAGCGAAAGCAUGGGGAGCGAACAGGAUUAGAUACCCUGGUAGUCCAUGCCGUAAACGUUGGGCACUAGGUGUGGGGGACAUUCCACGUUUUCCGCGCCGUAGCUAACGCAUUAAGUGCCCCGCCUGGAGA